ACUCUGAUCAAUCUGUGGUCAACAUAUUUAUUAUCCUGAUGACGCGGGAUGGCAGGGCGGGGCUGUCACUGAGCAUGCGCAGUACGCACUGAUUCUCAGCAUCUCCUCUUCAUGACAAAGGGUCCUCCGAGACGCGCCGCGCGUGAUCCGCGUCCUCUGCUCAUGUGCAGCCGAACAGACACGCACGCACGCACGCGCACACACAGAGACAGACAGGCCGCCGGUGUGUCGGUGAUGCGCGCGGCGGGCAGCAGCAUCAGCAGCUCGCGGUGGUUGUAGCAUCGUUACCGAGAGGCGGAGCGCGAGCAGCCGCAGCGGAGGAGCGCGAGGAGGAGACCGGAGCCAUGAGCUGCAACUGGGGCACCGAGCUGUGGGAUCAGUUUGAUAAUUUGGAGAAACACACCAGUUGGGGAAUCGACUUCCUGGAGAGAUAUACCAAGUUUGUUAAAGAGAGAGCCGAUAUCGAGCUGAGCUAUGCUAAACAGAUCAGGAGUCUGUCUAAGAAGUAUCAUCCGAAGAGAAGCAGAGAGGACGACAGCAGGUACACCUGGUGUCUGGCGUUUGCAGCGACACUCCGCCAGCUGAGCGAACUCGCUGUGCAGAGAGAAGAACUCGCUGAAAACCUGAACACACAGAUCGUCUCCGAGCUGACCAGAUACACACAAGAACUGAAAACUGAGAGGAAAACUCAUUUCCAAGAUGGCCGCCGUGCCCAGCAGCACAUUGAGAGUUCCUGGAAGCAGCUGGAGUCUAGUAAACGUCGGUUUGAGCGUGACUGUAAGGAGGCGGAGCGAGCUCAACACGUCUCCGAUAGAAUUGACCUCGACACCAAGACGGAUGCAGAGAAGCGCUGCUCAUUGAAGGCUCGUCAGACGGCUCAACAGAAACAACAAUCUGCUGAUGAGUCCAAGAAAGAAUAUGUGACCAGUUUAAACCAGUUUAACCAGGACCAGCACCAGCAUUACCACACACUGGUCCCAGUUAUAUACCAGCGUAUCCAGGACAUGGAGGAGCGGCGGAUCGAAAGAAUCGGUGAAGCGAUGCGUUCGUCGGCCGAGGCAGAGAGGAAGUUUCUUCCCGUGGUCGGUCACUGCUUGGACGCCAUGAUGGACGCUGCUGAGAGCAUCCAGCCCAGGAUGGACACCCGCCAGGUGGUGGAGGUGUAUAAAUCCGGCUUCGACCCUCCAGGUGAUGUAGAGUUUGAAGACUACAGCACCACCAUGAGGCGGAGCAUCUCUGAAUCCAGUUACCUUGACAACCGAACUGAGGGGCGGAGACACAGCCGGAAGUUGUGGCCGUUCAUACGCAAGAACAAGUUGUUGACCCUCCUGUCCUCUCCCCGGCAGCCCCCUCCUCCCCCUCCCACCUCACCUUCACCUGGGGGCGUGGCCAACAGUUCCCAGUCCCCACCCCCGCCUUCUAGAGAACCAAUCACACAGCGACUGAAUGAACUUAUGACCUCUGGUUCCAGAACCAGGAAGCAGUGUCUCCGCAGCCUCAAGAGAGGGCUGUCACUCAAACUGGGCUCAGGUCCUGCAGACUGCAGCCAUCUUCCUCCAGAACAACGACGCAAGAAACUUCAAACCAGAAUCAACAACAUCAACCAGGAGAUCCAGAGAGAGAGAGAGCAGAGAGACACGCUGCUAAAGAUGAGAGAGGUGUACGAGCGAAGUCCUCAGAUGGGCGACGCCAGCAGUCUGGAGCCUCGACUGGACGAAGUGAAGCAGAGUCUGCAGAGACUGGAGGACGAGCUGCGGAGGAACCAGGCGUGGCUGGCGGAGGCCGACAGCAGACUGUCUGAUCACGGCAGCAGGAGGCCCAGUGGAGGUUGUGGGUUAAAUUCUCAGGCGACGACGCCAGGCAGCAGCAGCCUGAAACAGCUGGACAACCGCAGCCCAGCCAGCAGAGAGAGUCCUGACGGCAGCUACACUGAGGAUCACAGCGCAGAGCUUCACUUUAAGUCUCGUAGUUCAGAGUUUGAUAACGACUUUGACGAUGAAGAGCCGUUACCGAGUAUCGGUACCUGCAAGUCCCUUUAUCCUUUUGAAGGUCAGAAUGAAGGAACUCUGUCCAUGGUGGAGGGAGAACUACUUUCUGUGGUGGAAGAAGACAAAGGUGAUGGCUGGACCAGAGUACGGAGGAACCUGGAGGAGGAGGGAUACGUCCCAACAUCCUACAUCAAAGUCUUCCUCGACAACAGCGCCAAAGGCUUUGUGCAGAGUAGUCGGCUAGUCUAGCACAGUAGUCGGCCCAGUGAGGACGUCUCGCCACAGGAAGGGAUGUGUAAAGGAAAGAGCUCAGAGGAAGCCUGUGUUUGGAGACAAACUGACCUGAGAUCAGUUAACAGCUGUUUAAUAUUAUGAUGCAUCGUAAAAAAUUAAAAGGUAAACUUUUAAAAUUAAUGUAUGUAAAAAAUGUAAGUGUGUGGUCCUUGCUGUUGGCCAAUGAGAGAUGAAGAUCAAAUGAACACAUCUCGCCUCACUGCGGUGACAUCACAGUGUACCGGAGUACAGUGUGACAUCACUGCUGUUACUGUGAACAAUGAAAAGUUUAAACAGUCCACGUGGAAGUGAAGCGUCGACUGUGUGUGUAAAUAUCAACUGUAGCUGCACAGGUGUAGCCCCGCCCCCGAACACCUGCUGACAUUAGCCCCGCCCUUGUUUAUCAAUGAUCAUGUUAUUGAUUGAUUGUGUGAAAUGUGAAACUCAUUCUUUUUUAUUUUGUAGUAAAAUAAUUGAUUUUUUUAUUGAGACGUGAGACUGCUGAUCACGCUCUUUUCAACUUCCUGUAUGUUUAAACUUUCAAAA